CCCUACGGGAGGCAGCAGUGGGGAAUAUUGCACAAUGGGCGAAAGCCUGAUGCAGCGACGCCGCGUGAAGGAUGAAGUAUUUCGGUAUGUAAACUUCUAUCAGCAGGGAAGAAAAUGACGGUACCUGACUAAGAAGCCCCGGCUAACUACGUGCCAGCAGCCACGGUAAUACGUAGGGGGCAAGCGUUAUCCGGAUUUACUGGGUGUAAAGGGAGCGUAGACGGCGAUGCAAGCCAGAUGUGAAAGCACGGGGCUCAACCCC
rnacentral:rRNA from 1 species